GCCUCUUUUCUAGGAUCAAGAGGACCACACUCCAGCCCAGGACAAAACCCCACAGCAGCACAUUGUCCGGCAGGAGAGGAGCAGACCCACCUUCAAGAAGAUGGUUGUACCCCUGCACGGCUCUUCUCUGAGCAAUGAAGCCAAACCACGAUACAAUUCUGAAGAGGAAGCCGGGAAUGGGAGACAGCAACAAUCCCUGUCC
rnacentral:lncRNA from 1 species